rnacentral:rRNA from 1 species
CGUAGGCGGUUUGUCGCGUCUGGUGUGAAAACUCAAGGCUCAACCCUUGAGCUUGCAUCGGGUACGGGCAGACUAGAGUGCGGUAGGGGUGACUGGAAUUCCUGGUGUAGCGGUGGAAUGCGCAGAUAUCAGGAGGAACACCGAUGGCGAAGGCAGGUCACUGGGCCGCAACUGACGCUGAGGAGCGAAAGCAUGGGGAGCGAACAGGAUUAGAUACCCUGGUAGUCCAUGCCGUAAACGUUGGGCACUAGGUGUGGGGCUCAUUCCACGAGUUCCGUGCCGCAGCAAACGCAUUAAGUGCCCCGCCUGGGGAGUACGGCCGCAAGGCUAAAACUCAAAGGAAUUGACGGGGGCCCGCACAAGCGGCGGAGCAUGCGGAUUAAUUCGAUGCAACGCGAAGAACCUUACCAAGGCUUGACAUACACCGGAAACUUCCAGAGAUGGUUGCCCCGCAAGGUCGGUGUACAGGUGGUGCAUGGUUGUCGUCAGCUCGUGUCGUGAGAUGUUGGGUUAAGUCCCGCAACGAGCGCAACCCUCGUCUUAUGUUGCCAGCACGUCAUGGUGGGGACUCAUAAGAGACUGCCGGGGUCAACUCGGAGGAAGGUGGGGAUGACGUCAAAUCAUCAUGCCCCUUAUGUCUUGGGCUUCACGCAUGCUACAAUGGCCGGUACAAAGGGCUGCGAUACCGCGAGGUGGAGCGAAUCCCAAAAAGCCGGUCUCAGUUCGGAUUGGGGUCUGCAACUCGACCCCAUGAAGUCGGAGUCGCUAGUAAUCGCAGAUCAGCAACGCUGCGGUGAAUACGUUCCCGGGCCUUGUACACACCGCCCGUCAAGUCACGAAAGUCGGUAACACCCGAAGCCGGUGGCCCAACCCUUGUGGAGGGAGCUGUCGAAGGUGGGGCUGGAAUCGUCGACCUGCAGGCAUGCAAGCUGACACUGGGCACGACUCU